rnacentral:rRNA from 1 species
GACGAACGCUGGCGGCGUGCCUAAUACAUGCAAGUCGAACGAACCGCGACUAGGUGCUUGCACUUGGUCAAGGUGAGUGGCGAACGGGUGAGUAACACGUGGGUAACCUACCUCAUAGUGGGGGAUAACAGUCGGAAACGACUGCUAAUACCGCAUAGGACAUAGGAUCACAUGAUUCUGUGAGGAAAGGUGGCGCAAGCUAUCGCUAAGAGAUGGACCCGCGGUGCAUUAGCUAGUUGGUAGGGUAAAGGCCUACCAAGGCGAUGAUGCCUAGCCGACCUGAGAGGGUGAUCGGCCACAUUGGGACUGAGACACGGCCCAAACUCCUACGGGAGGCAGCAGUAGGGAAUCUUCCGCAAUGGACGCAAGUCUGACGGAGCAACGCCGCGUGAGUGAAGAAGGUCUUCGGAUCGUAAAGCUCUGUUGUUAGAGAAGAACAGCGCAUAGAGUAACUGUUAUGCGUGUGACGGUAUCUAACCAGAAAGCCACGGCUAACUACGUG